rnacentral:rRNA from 1 species
ACGGGAGGCAGCAGUGGGGGAUAUUGCACAAUGGGGGAAACCCUGAUGCAGCGACGCCGCGUGGAGGAAGAAGGUUUUCGGAUUGUAAACUCCUGUCGUUAGGGACGAUAAUGACGGUACCUAACAAGAAAGCACCGGCUAACUACGUGCCAGCAGCCGCGGUAAAACGUAGGGUGCAAGCGUUGUCCGGAAUUACUGGGUGUAAAGGGAGCGCAGGCGGGAAGACAAGUUGGAAGUGAAAACCAUGGGCUCAACCCAUGAAUUGCUUUCAAAACUGUUUUUCUUGAGUAGUGCAGAGGUAGAUGGAAUUCCCGGUGUAGCGGUGGAAUGCGUAGAUAUCGGGAGGAACACCAGUGGCGAAGGCGGUCUACUGGGCACCAACUGACGCUGAGGCUCGAAAGCAUGGGUAGCAAACAGGAUUAGAUACCCUGGUA